UACAGAGGGUGCAAGCGUUAAUCGGAAUUACUGGGCGUAAAGCGUGCGUAGACGGUUAUGUAAGUCUGUUGUGAAAGCCCCGGGCUCAACCUGGGAAUGGCAAUGGAUACUGGCAGGCUAGAGUGCGGUAGAGGGUAGUGGAAUUCCUGGUGUAGCGGUGAAAUGCGCAGAUAUCAGGAGGAACACCGGUGGCGAAGGCGGGUCUCUGGGCCGAAACUGACGCUGAGGAGCGAAAGCGUGGGGAGCAAACAGG
rnacentral:rRNA from 1 species